CGCCCGGGACCGGCCUCCCUGCGAGGAGUCGUCGGGGCCGAGACGGACGUCCCCGCUGCGCGCCGUCCCCGAGCGCAAGUCCGCUGGGGAAGCAGGUCCCGAGGAGGUUCGUUUCUGGGCAGGGCUCCCAGGAGUGGGAUCCUCUCUGCGCAGCUGCCAACCUGGCCCAGGCGGACGAGGGUCUUGAGGGUCUGGGGUUCCGAGACCCCCUGGAAGGAGCAUUUUUUUCAUCUUCCCACCCGGAUUGUAAGGAAAUUCCUCCCGCUUCUACCUCAAAGGGGGCACAGCGCGGUCGCCUCCCACUGGCAGGACUCUCCCCACAGCUGAGUAGAAGCUGCCUUGUAGAUACGAACAGGAGGGGGCCGCUCUGAGACUCCUACAAACUGUCGCUGUUAGGCAGGUGGACCCUAUUUUACCUCAUCCGUCACCAGCUGGUUGAGCGUUUCCCAUCGGCCCAGCUGCUGUUUAGCCUCAGGAGCACAGUGGGAAUUGGGGGCCGAGUCUAUCCGUUUCGCCACCAGCUUCAUGUGCAGUUUUACAAAAGAUACUUUCCUGUCCCUGGAA